UUAUUUUUUCAGUUUUUGAAU
rnacentral:piRNA from 1 species